UACGAGGGGGGCGAGCGUUGUUCGGAAUUAUUGGGCGUAAAGGGUGCGUAGGCGGUUGUUUAAGUCUGCCGUGAAAUCCCCGGGCUCAACCUGGGAAUGGCGAUGGAUACUGGCGAGCUAGAGUGUGUCAGAGGAUGGUGGAAUUCCCGGUGUAGCGGUGAAAUGCGUAGAGAUCGGGAGGAACACCAGUGGCGAAGGCGGCCUUCUGGACCAAUACUGACGCUCAUGCACGAAAGCGUGGGGAGCAAACAGG
rnacentral:rRNA from 1 species